UGUUCGAGCGUCAUUUAUACCAAUCUAGGCCUGGCUAGGUGUUGGGCUUCGCCAUCUGGCGGGCCCUAAAAUCAGUGGCGGUGCUCUUAGGCUCUACGCGUAGUAACUUUCUCGCUAUAGGGUCCUGGGAGAUGCUUGCCAACAACCCCAAAUUUUUACAGGUUGACCUCGGAUCAGGUAGGGAUACCCGCUGAACUUAA
rnacentral:misc_RNA from 1 species